rnacentral:rRNA from 1 species
GAUGAACGCUGGCGGCGUGCCUAAUACAUGCAAGUCGAGCGAACAGACGAGGAGCUUGCUCCUCUGACGUUAGCGGCGGACGGGUGAGUAACACGUGGAUAACCUACCUAUAAGACUGGGAUAACUUCGGGAAACCGGAGCUAAUACCGGAUAAUAUAUUGAACCGCAUGGUUCAAUAGUGAAAGACGGUUUUGCUGUCACUUAUAGAUGGAUCCGCGCGGCAUUAGCUAGUUGGUAAGGUAACGGCUUACCAAGGCUACGAUGCGUAGCCGACCUGAGAGGGUGAUCGCCCACACUGGAGCUGAGACACGGUCCAGACGCCUACGGGAGGCAGCAGUAGGGAAUCUUCCGCAAUGGGCGAAAGCCUGACGGAGCAACGCCGCGUGAGUGAUGAAGGUCUUCGGAUCGUAAAACUCGGUUAUUAGGGAAGAACAAAUGUGGAAGUAACUAUGCACGUCUUGACGGUACCUAAUCAGAAAGCCACGGCUAACUACGUG